GGCACAGUGGUGCAGUGGGUAGGAAUGUCUCCUUACAGGAGAAGGUCAUUGCUUCAAAUCCAGUCAAUGGCA